UAAAUAAAUCUUUAAAAUAAUAAGGAUCCAGAUUACUUUGGUUCAAAUUCUAAGUCCACUAUUUAUCAUCUAUAGGACCUUGGAUUAGUUAGUAAACUUCUCUGCGCUUCAGUAUCUUCAUUUAUAAUCUGGAGUUAAAAACCUGUUCCAAUGCAUAAGACAGUUGAUAAUACUAAGUGGAUAGGGUCCGGUGCAUUAGCCUAAUGGAUAAAGUCCUCGCCUUGCAUAUGCUGGGAUCCCAUAUGGGCACCAGCUCUAAUCCCGGCUGCUCCACUUCCCAUCCAGCUCCCUGCUUGUGGCCUGGGAAAGCAGUUGAGGAUGGUCCAAAGCCUUAGGACCCUGUACCCGCAUGGGAGACAAGGAAAAAGCUCAUGGCUUCGACCAUUGAGGCCCCUUGGGGAGUGAACCAGUGAACAGAAGAUCUUUCUUUCUCUCUGUCUCUCCUAUUUAAGCUGAGAAAUCCCAUGAUCUGUUGUCUGCAAGCUAGAGACCCAGAAAAAUCAGUAUUGGGGUUCAAGCACAGUACAAAGCCCUGAGAGCCAGGGAAGCCAGUAAUGUAAACCUCAAUCCAAGGACAAGUGAAGGCACUUGACACAGUGGGCAGGAUACUCUUGAGAUACCCAUAUCCCACCUUGGCAACCCAUAAGAAUACCUCAGUUCAAGUUGCAGCUUCCAGUUCUAACAUCUUGCUUAUGCAUAUUCUGAGAUUGUUCGUGGUGAUGGUGAUGUUCAUACGCAUAGGUCCCUGCUAACCCUUGCUGGGUUGGGGUUCCCACUGGUGAGUGCGGGGGCCGGAGUGGGGGCUGC